AGAGAAUCUGUGGCCCCCUGGUGGCCAGUACAUACAUUAUGUGGCCCCCACCACCAUCCAAGUAGCCCAUCCCUGCUGUAAAUGAGAAGUGUUUGC